UACGGAGGGGGCUAGCGUUGUUCGGAUUUACUGGGCGUAAAGGGCGCGUAGGCGGCGCGGUAAGUCACUUGUGAAAUCUCUGAGCUUAACUCAGAACGGCCAAGUGAUACUGCAGUGCUAGAGUGUGGAAGGGGCAAUCGGAAUUCUUGGUGUAGCGGUGAAAUGCGUAGAUAUCAAGAGGAACACCUGAGGUGAAGACGGGUUGCUGGGCCAACACUGACGCUGAGGCGCGAAAGCCAGGGGAGCAAACGGG
rnacentral:rRNA from 1 species